rnacentral:lncRNA from 1 species
AUUUGUCACGUGACAGGCGCAAAUGAACGAACCUGCAAGAUGCGGGACGGUUGAUUCUGCUCUGGCGUUUGGAGGUGCAAAAACACACAAAAUAACUGCCAACAUCAUGCCUAAAAUACGUCCUUUACAAAAAAAAAAAAGGUAGAACAAUGAUGUCGGACGAUUUUGAAGUUGGAGGAACUACUUCUGCCUGUCACGCGUGACCUUUCCAACAUAAUGCAUGAAGUUAUGGACGUGCGUCGCAGAGCUGCAAGACGAGCAUUUGUGG